rnacentral:rRNA from 1 species
UACGUAGGGGGCAAGCGUUAUCCAGAUUUACUGGGCGUAAAGCGCGUGUAGGCGGCUGGUUAGGUGUGAUGUGAAAUCUUCGGGCUCAACCCGAAAACUGCAUUGCAAACCGGCCUGGCUAGAGUGCAGGAGAGGGAAGCGGAAUUCCAGGUGUAGCGGUGAAAUGCGUAGAUAUCUGGAGGAACACCGGUGGCGAAGGCGGCAUCCUGGACCGACACUGACGCUGAGGAGCGAAAGCCAGGGGAGCAAACGGG